rnacentral:sRNA from 1 species
GCAGAGACAUUCGGUGUGAACUGCCGCUCC